ensembl:snoRNA U3 Small nucleolar RNA U3
AAUUUUAUACUUUGAGGAGCCAUUUUCAUAGUUUGUCACCAGAGAAGUUUCUUUGAAUGUGGAAUGUACCAGAAAGCAUGAGGAGGAAGUAUAGUGCUCUCUCCUUAGCUGUGAAAUUGGCUCUGUGUUGCUUCAUUGCAACCGCCAUUUUUUGUUGAUGGCCAGUCUUCUCUUCCUUUGGGAGGGUAAUAAGGGGAGGAUGCAGUCUGAGUGGU